CUUACUAGAUGCCCCAAAACCCUGAUAUACCCAUGGAACUUGAAGAGAUACCUAUUGUCACUGAUGAGUUACUAGUCUUUGUUUUUAAGAACUUAGAAGAAAGGGGCGCGCUGCGAGGUGGUUCCGCAUGCGCCGUGGGGUUGAGCGAAGCGCACGCUGAAGAGGACGGCUCGUUCGGGUGUGUUGGAUCUGAUCUUAGCAGUUGAAGAGCACGGCGCAGGACCCCAGCGCAUGUUUCACACACAAACCUCAGAAAGCCGGCUCUAAGUUGUAGAUUUUAUCAACACAAAUUUCCUGAGGUGGAAGAUGUAGUGAUGGUGAAUGUAAGAUCUAUUGCUGAGAUGCGGGCUUAUGUAAGCCUGCUGGAGUACAACAACAUCGAAGGCAUGAUUCUUCUUAGUGAAUUAUCCAGGAGACAUAUCCGUUCUAUAAACAAACUCAUCCGAAUUGGCAGGAAUGAAUGUGUGGUUGUCAUUAGGGUGGACAAAGAAAAAGGAUAUAUUGAUUUGUCAAAAAGAAGAGUUUCUCCAGAAGAAGCAAUCAAAUGUGAAGACAAAUUCACAAAGUCUAAAACUGUUUAUAGCAUUCUUCGUUAUGUUGCUGAGGUGUUAAAAUACACCAAAGAUGAGUAGUUGGAAAGCCUGUUACAGAGGACUGCAUGGGUCUUUCAUGACAAGUAUAAGAGACCCGGAUACGGUGCCUAUGAUGCGUUUAAGCAUGCAGUCUCAGACCCAUCUAUCUUGGAUAGCUUAGAUUUGAAUGAAGAUGAACGGGAAAUACUCAUUAACAAUAUUAAUAGGCAUUUUACCCCACAAGCUGUCAAAAUUCAAGCAGAUAUUGAAGUGGCUUGUUAUGGUUAUGAAGGCAUUGAUGCUGUAAAAGAAACCCUGAGAGCAGGUUUGGAUUGUUCUACGGAAACCAUGCAAAACCAAAAUUAAUCUAAUAGCUCCUCCUUGGUAUGUGAUGACUACAACAACUCUGGAGAGAACAGAAGGCCUUUCUGCUCUCAAUCAAGCUAUGGCUAUUAUCAAAGAAAAGAUUGAGGAAAAGAGGGGUGUGCUCAAUGUUCAAAUGGAGCCCAAACUGGUCACAGAUACAGACGAGACUGAACUUGCCAGGCAGCUGGAGAGGCUUGAAAGAGAAAAUGCCGAAGUGGAUGGAGAUGAUGAUGCAGAAGAAAUGGAAGCCAAAGCUGAAGAUUAACUUGUGGGAAACAGAGUCCAAUUUAAGGAACACAGAGCAGCCCCUUCUGGCUGAAAACCCUAGACUUGAAAGUUUUCCAGUAUUGAAAACUUCAAAACGAAAUAUUUUUUAUUUCCAAGCAUUUAAAUCUUCUAACAGACCAGAACAUGAAAUGCCAUCUGAAAUGUCAGCUGAUUUCACACAAUAGCUCCAACACAUUGAGCAGUUUUUAAGAGAGUGGCCUAAUUUCACUAGAGGCAAAUCUUUAAGACCAGUCCUAAAAUUGGGCUUGUGAUUUCCAUUUCUGAUGUCUCCAGAUUGACACCCCUUUGUAGUUCAGUCCCUCUAUGAGAUUCAUCAGGGGCACCCAAAGCAAGCAGUCCCAAUCUUUCUAUAUAAACUGUAUUCAAGCAAAUAUCAAAUAAAUUUCUGGGAUAUUUAAAAAAAAAAAAA